rnacentral:tRNA from 1 species
UCCCUGGUGGUCCAGUGGUUAAGACCUUGCUUUCCAAUGCAAGGGUUUCGGGUUCAAUCCCUGGUUGGGGAG